AGAAUGUCACAUCAUGUGUACUUGUCCUUUUAGCUGCAGCAUCAUUGAGACUCCACAGGUGACACCUGACAGGAUACAGCCCGACAAUCCAGGUAGCGACGCAGGUCUACGACUUACUCUUGCACAUCUGUUUGCAAUUGUCUAAUUCGGAUGCUGGAUUUCCUGGGGAGUUAAGCUUCUGUUAUGGCUCACAAAUCUCUCCGUUCGGCUGCUCACUCAUUCUGACAUCCACUGCUCAGGAAGGGACCUGUUUGAGGUGCAUACUAAGCCCCCCCUCACUUACCAUGCAUUCACUUCCUGCCAGUUCCUGCAAGAGGAAGGCAUUGAUGCUAUGGACUGGACCACCCAUUCCCCAGACCUGAAUCCAAUUGAGCACAUCUGGGACGUCUCGCUCCAUCCACCACAGACUGUCCAAGAGUUGGCAGAUGUUUAAGUCCAGGUCUGGGAGGACAUCCCUCUGGAGACCAUCCUCCACCUCAUCAAGAGCAUGCCCAGGCGUUGUAGGGAGGUCAUACAGGCACAUGGAGGCCACACGCACUACUGAACCUCAUUUUGACUUGUUUUAUGGACAUUACAUCAAAGUAAGAUCAGCCUGUAGUGUGGUUUUC